AUGGAGUAGUGUCGCAAGGCAUCGCUUAGUUAUUUUAUUGCUUUUAGAUGUAGUAAUUAGGGGUAAAACUGGUUAUAGAAACCUAAGGGAUCACAGUAAGGUAUUAAGUGGGGUUCCAGUUCAUUUACUUUGAGUAAAUUAGAGUGUUCAAAGCAGCCUGUAUGGGCAUUGAAUAGAUUAGCAUGGGAUAAUAGAAUAGGAUUCUUACCUAUUUAUUGGUUUAUAGGUUUAGAAUAAUGAUUAAUAGGGAUAGUUGGGGGCACUUGUAUUCAAUAGUCAGAGGUGAAAAUUCUAGGAUUUUAUUCGAAGACAAACUUCAGCGAAAGCAUUUGCCAAGGAUGUUUUCAUUAAUCAAGAACGAAAGUUAGGGGGAUCGAAGACGAUUAGACACCGUCGUAGUCUUAACUAUAAACUAUGCCGACCAGGGGAUAUGAGAGUUUUACAUUUAUACUAUGAAUAAUAGUAUAAUCUCUUGUGGACCUUGUGAGAAAUCAUAAGUUUUUUGGGGUUCUGGGGGGGAGUAUGGUCGCAAGGCUGAAACUUAAAGGAAUUGACGGA
rnacentral:rRNA from 1 species